UCUGCGCAUCAACUCAUCUCAUAUAUAAAUAAGAACUGCAACAGUACAAUCAUGAGUGUCAAUGUUUUUUUGCUUUUUUCUCACAGUGGGUACGGCAAUGUGUCAAGAGGUGGAGCUCUAAGAUUAGUUUGACUUGGCUUAUUUUCUAAUGUGGAAUCACACUAUCACUCUGUCAAGAGCAUCAACCAACGUGUGCCUUCCUGUCUUUCUCAUUUUGGUUCUUCAUACAGGUGACAUCCUGACAAACAUGAUAACGUUGCAUGACUCACAAAAACAAGUUUUAGAAGGUAAAAAUGUAACACUCACAUGUAACUACAGUGGAGCACCUGAUAAUCUCCACUGGUACCAUCAAUAUCCCAGAUCUACACCAAAGUUCCUCCUCUACAUCUAUGAAAGUGGGCUGAUGAGUGACAACAUACCACAGCGCUUAACACCAAGAAUUAAUAAAAACACAAAACGAGUAGAUCUGGAGAUCUCUUCUGCUGCAGUGACAGACUCUGCUGUGUACUACUGCGCUCUGAGGCCCACAGUCACAGGAAACAAAGCUACGCUGUACGAAAACAUGAAGCAGAGAGAAAUGUAUUUAGCAAAUGGAGCAAAGAUAUAUGUUUCUCAACUUGUUUUAUACAUCACAAUUUUAUUUAUAUAUACACUAACCAUUUAAUCAGUUCAGAUGAUUU